rnacentral:lncRNA from 1 species
UCGAUAAUGCCUCCUCUUUCGGUGACGGAUACGGGUUAGAGGUGUUAUGUUUUAUUGGUAUCAGAGAUAUAGUUUAGUCGAUUCUAGGACUAACGUAGUAAUUAAGAGUCUAGCUAUGCAUGCCAUAUAUAUAAACUACGAUAGUGUGAUGAUUACUGACAGUUAAAAUGUGUUUUUAUGUAGCAAAUGGAUCCAGAACAAGCCAUAGCUGACGAUAUGGAAAGUAAUACGCCCG